GCUUCGCUGGGGCAUGGGCUGGCCGCUGGGGCUGCUGGCCCUGGCCGGCACGCUCUGGGUCGUCUAUAAAGCC
rnacentral:tRNA from 1 species